rnacentral:other from 1 species
UAGUCCCUGCAGUGUUCGUGACUCGGCCAAACAUUCCUUGAACCAAUGCUUAUGGCAUAUAGGUUGCUGGAUUGACAAGUAGGAGUGCAUGCCUUAGCUGGCAAGCCCGAAGCUUGACUGAUGGCGACCACCUUGAACCUCCGGUUCCAGGAUGCCGGCCUAGACGGCACAGGCGGGGCAAUU